rnacentral:lncRNA from 1 species
UUUUUCACAUGUGUGUUAGUUAUUAUUUUAGCUUAUGGUGGUUUUACUUGUUUGGUUGAUUAGAUCUUGUGAAAAAAUUGAUAUCUAACAAAAAAUUAAUAAUAUCAUACAAGUGAAAACAACAAAAAAUAAAUACAAUGUUUAUAGAUUAUGCAUUAAAAAAUUAUUUAAAAUUUAAAAUUUUAUUAUGAAAGUUAUUACAGAGCAAUAUAUUAAAAAAGUGUUCUUUAGUAUGCUUGAUUUUUCAUAAUCUUGAUGCCUCAAAUAAAGUCUUGGAAAAAGUACCUGCAAAAUAAGAUAGAGUUAUGAGAAAAACAUAAGAUUAAAAAUGAAAUCAUAUUUUAGUAGACUUUUUAUUAAGUCUACGUAAAGUUAUUGUUUAGUAGACUUUAGUUGAAGUCUACACUAAUAGAAAAUUUUCAUAUCUAAAAGUGUGCAUUUAGAAAAUUUGAAAAUACUUUGUUCUGGAAAAUAUUUCAAAAAUGGUUUUUUGUCAUCCUUGUAACACAGCAAAAAGAUAAUGUAUGAAUUUAUAAAUUUAGUUCAUUAUAAACACAAAAUAUCUUAUAAUGAAUAUAUGGAAAGCUUACAUUUUUGGGAAGAUGAUUUGAAAACAUUGGAAGAGAAUACCUGCAAAAUAAAAUAAAAUUAUGAAAAAUAAGAUAAAAAUUAAAAUCAUAUUUGAGUAAACUUCUAAUGAAAUAUGCUUAAAAGUCAAGGCUAGUAGACUUCAUUUUAAGUCUACCAGCCGUAAGUUUUAAGUAGAUUUCAAAUGAAGUCUACUCUAUCAAAAAAAAAAAUAGAUCUGAAAAAUAAAUACAUUAAAAAUAUGAAAUAAGUUUAAAUCUAAAAAACUUUUAAAAAUAUGAUUUAAUAGACAAAAUAGUUAUAAAUUAAAGACAUAUUAAUAUGAAUUUUAAUAUGUAACUUUAUUUGAAUAUAAAUACUAGAACACAUAUUUUAAAUCUAUAGAUGUAAACCUUACAUUUCUAGGAGGAGAAGAGAACAACUAUGGAAGAAAAUACCUG